rnacentral:lncRNA from 1 species
AUGAUGAAUGCACAUGCCAGUGGCACGUUGUGUCCUGUUUACAUCGUUGCACCCACUUGUUUCCAGUUUCUGAUCCAUCCUUUUCAACCUUUUCCCAUACCCCCUCCCCAGUCUACGAUCCAUGAGCCACUGCCCCCUGGCUCUGAGAAAGGAUGCCGAGAUGAGGUCAUCCCCCGCCUGGCAACCACCUCCCAACUUGCGUACGGCCCAAAGACUCACGGGGGCCCGUUGGCUCAUCCCCGCUACGCUGUUGCUGCUGCGCACUGGGACGUCCACUAUAUCAAAGAUUUGAAAGAGAAGCUGAAGCUGAGAGAAUGGAGGUUCCCACUCACCACAGGCAACCAGAAGAGUGAGAUGAGGGAACGCUACCCCGGCUGGCCCAACCAGCCACAGGAGGCCACCUUUCACGCUGGACCUCAGCCAUUCGCAUUGGCUGCUCAUCACACAGAAGGCGCGUCCAAGUCCAUGGUGGCCAGCACACGCAAUGAAGCCCUGGAAGGGAGACCCUUCUACAUCCGUGACAAGGCGGUUCUGCGGCUCAAUGAGCCAUAUCUAUCCAUCACUAGCCAAGAUUUCCGGCCCUUCACUCAGAAGGAACGACAGGGCUAUGUCUGGGGGCCUGGAUUAAAGGAGAACCUCCAGGGCCAGGAUUCCUACCCUCUGAUCCGUGAGCCUGGGCCAAUGCGGGACCUCGUUCAGUUUCCUCUUGCCACCCGAGUGCCUCGCCUUGCCCCAAUCGCCGCUGCGGUUCCCCAUCAUGGGCUUCUUCCUUUGAGUAAAGAAUCCUACCAGCCUCCGCAUGAUCACAAGCGCACCUGGGACCGCUUUUGCCCUGUGGAACAGCCACCCACUGCCUCCUAUCGGGUGCCUGUGGUAGAGAUCAUGUGCAUCCCGCACAUGUAUGAGACAGAGUACAAGUGCUAUGGAAGUGGGAAACCCAAGCCAGUAUGAUGGACCCAGCACAACCAUUCAACAAGCAUUUUAGUUUAUUCCUUUCACCCACUCAAGGAAAACAGAGCUGCAGCUAUUUAUCUUUAUUUGCCUUGGUGUUCAUUUUGCUGAACUGACCUCCCCUCUGUCUACAAUCUGAUCUUUCCAAUGGGUGGGCAAUUGGGGGGGGCAGGAGUCAGAAUUACAGAAUAAUUGAGUUAGAAGGAGUCUAUAAAGCCGUCAAGUCCAACCCCUUGCUUGAUGCAGGAAUCCAAAUCAAAGCAGAUCUGUCAGGUGAUUAUGUAAGUUUUUCUUGAAUGCCUCCAGUGUUGGAGCACUCUCCACCUCUCCAAGUAACUGGUUCCAUUGUCAUACUGCUCUAACAGUUAGACCUUUGCCUGAUAUUCAACCUACAUUUGGCUUCCUGUAGUUUGAGCCCAUUAUUAUGCGUCUUAUACUCUGGGUGACUGCCCCUCCUCUGUAUGACUACCUUUCAAAUAUUUGAAAAAGUGCUAUAGAUCUCUACUCUGUCUUCUUUUCUCAAGGUUAAACAUACCCAUUUCUUUUGGUUUUUCCUCAUAGGGCUUGGUUUCCAGUCUCCUGAUCAUCCUUGUUGCCCUCCUCUGAACUUGCUCCAAUUUGUUGGCAUCCUUCUUAAAGUGCGGUGUCAAGAAAUGGACACAGUACUCUAGUUGAGGCCCAACCAGUGCUGAAUACAGAGGGACUCAUGUCCCUGGACUGCAGCUCCCAUGAUCUCUGGUGGCUAAAGGGAAUGGGAGUUACAGUCCAACAGCAUCUGGAGUAGUUGAAGUUGCUGAUCCCAGGUUUAGAAGCAUUUAGAAAAAGGCAUACAGUAUUUUGGAUUUUGCCCUGCAAGAACUUAUGCCAGAUUCAACAGUACUGUAUCUGGGCCAGCAUCCUGCUAACAAAUGUGGAAUGCAACUACUGUUCCAGCAUAGUGCUCCACAUGCGCUAGUGUGUCUCUAGCAUAUAACUGCACAAGUUGGAGAGCAGCCCAUUCAAAGCAAUAUGGCUUCUGCUUGUGGAGGGGUGUCUUGAAUCUCACACAAACUGUGGGAAAGUGUAGUCACAUGCUCAGCAGAACACUGCAUGCACAGUAAAAACAAACUGGAUAUUGACUCUAGUUAGAAACCUUCUCUGGCCUUGUUAUUUGCAGUUUUAGCUUCAGGACUGUAUAGACAGGUCAGACCAAGAAGAUUGCAAGCCUGGUACAUUUAUCUGAAAGCAAGGCCCAUUGAACUCAUUGGGGAUUGCUUAUGAGUGAAUUCAGAUAGAAGAAAUCUGCAAGAAUGAAUUUAGUAAGCAGUAGAGAAUCACAAAUGGAGAUACAAGAGUUUAAUUCGGUCAGAGCCAUCCUAUCAAGGUCUUAAGGAGUAUAAGAAACACUGCGGUGCACAAUGUGUGUUUGGAUUUCAAUCUGUAAAAUGGAAGGUGCUUGCAUUGUUGGAACUACAGAUAGAUGGGUCACAAUAAAGCAAGAGAAUUUGAUUGACUGGAGAGAGAG